CUCAGAGGAUGGUCACCCCUGGUGACAUUAUAAAACAGUGUCUGAACUCACCCAGCUGGGGAACAGGCAGAGAAACCCCAUGGCUUCACCAUCCUCAGUGCAAUGCUAUUCAUUAUCACCUGAAAAACUCUAGGAAUCUACAGGAUGGUCCAUGGAUGCCACACUCAGACCUCCUCAGUGGUGACCUUGGUAUAUUGAACCACAAGGCUGAUAGAAGACUGGAAAAGAAAACACUGAUGACAGGAGAUGUCGCUUCAGGGAGGCAACUGGAAGUCUUAAAUUGUGGGAGAUAUGGAUGCUCAGAGGUUGCGAUGAGGAGAUCAAAAGAGCUUAUAUAUGAGAAAGAAACGAUGCUGCUCACUGUGAAUACAAAACACAGUAGUGACAGCUGCCAGUGAAGUAGCGACACUGAGCCCGGAGUUCUGCUGAGGAUGUCCCAAAGGUACUGGAAAGCUAUUGAACUCUCUGUAAGUGCCAGGAUCCAGAGAAAUGAGAAGCUUGCAGAGGUGAGCCAACGCUUCAUUUGCUGGUUUUUAAGCAGUUUUGAGCCAGAGGCUGAGAAUCAAUGCAGAGUUUGGGGCAGUCCCUUACGACUAGAGAAACAGAAAAUGUAGCUGGGGCCAAAACGCCAGAGAGAAGAGAGGUGGACAGGAGUG
rnacentral:lncRNA from 1 species